AGCUAAUAGAUACCCUGGUAGUCCACGCCCUAAACGAUGUCAACUGGCUUUACGGAGUAUCGACCCUCUGUGAGGCGAAAGCUAACGCGUUAAGUUGACCGCCUGGGUAGUACGACCGCAAGGUUAAAACUCAAAGGAAUAGACGGGGGCUUGCACAAGCGGUGGAGCGUGUGGCUUAAAUUCGUCGCUAAGCGAAGAACCUUACCAGGGCUAGAAAUCCUACUGCACGUCUAGCGAAAGCUAGAAAGCCUUCGAGGGUGUAGGACAGGUGAUGCAUGGCUGCCGUCAGUUCGUGGUUUGAAUCGUUCCCUUCAGUGGGGUAACGAACGCAACCCUCGUUGCCAGUCACAAGUGUCUGGCGAGACUGCCCCCUCACGGGGGAGGAAGGUGAGGAUGACGCCAAGUCAGCAUGUCCCUCUGAUGUCCUGGGCUGCACACGCGCUACAAUCGCCUUUACAAAGGGACGCAAUGCGGUAACGCGGAGCAAAUCCUUAAAAGAUGCGCCAGUUCGGAUUGGGGUCUGCAACCCGACCCAUGAAGCCGGAA
rnacentral:rRNA from 1 species